GUACAGUCGCACAAGAGAAAGGGGGAAGAAGGGGUAAACCCUAACCACAAGAAAAUCCAGAAAUUGAAGGUGCUAUGGAGCAAGAAUCGAAUGCAUGAACUUAGUUCCUCUUUAAUCCAUGUACAUUGAACAUAAGGAGCGUGAUCUUGAUGAAAAGAUGGUAUAGGAAUCAUGUCAAAACGGACUCAAGCAUAAAAGGAUAACGGGUCAAGAAAAGGCGAGGAAUCGGAUACGAGCACGGACGCAUAAGGUAAGUGAUUUCCGUAAUCACUUCUUAAUUCAAGUAAGUAAUUAAGUGUUGUGAUUAAUUAAUCAUGAUGUUUGAGGUCAAAUAUGUGUUAAAGUCUUUCGUCGUAAACGAUGGAUUAAAGUUGACCAAAAUGCCCUCGAUGGGUAUUUUGGGGUAAACGAUCUUAAAAAUAGUUUAGAAACAAGUUAUUCGAUUAGUGUAAUGUUUUGGACAAGUAUGGAUGUGGGGAUGAUGGUUUGGUUAGUCAUAGACCAAUUAAUACGCGAAUACCCUUAACGGGUCAAAAUAAGUAUAUAUGAACGAUAAUGUGUUAAGAGGAUGUAAGACAUCCAAGAAUUUGGUAAUUUAUGAGAGACGUCAUUGAUAUUAUUAUGUUUAUAAGGGGUUAUGGUAAAACAAACAGAUUAUGUUGAUUAAUGCACGAACGGGUCAAAUAAUUAGAAGAUAAUAAUAAGCCGAAUGCAGGUAAGUUAAGAAUUUCCUUAAUCCAUAUGUAGGAUUUUAAGUUCAUAUGAUAGAAUGUGAAUUUACAAGCAUGUAGGAAGAAACGUGAGGUUAAACGGACAAUCGGGUUAAAAGUUAUGCGAGUUUUAGUGGGCGUGUUGUAUCUGCACCCGGAGUAUGGAACGCCGGGUUUGGGAGUAUGGAACGCCGGGCAGAAACCUAAACGCCCAUACUUCACUGUCAAACGCUGGUUCCAUGUUAAAGUGAACGUCGGGGUGUUCCAAAUAAGCCUAGAUCACUAUAAAGCUGAGUCUAAGACCCAUGUAAAAAAUGUAUGAUUAUGUAAGAGGUACGCGUGAUCUAGUACGUGUUCGUUAAGGUAUGUACGAGUGUAUGCAUGUAUGUAAAGAUGUAGGAAA